AAUUUUGUUCCUAUAUGCAAUAAGUCAGCAUAUGCAGCAUUGAUUGUGCAUAGUCAAUGAUAUUGCUAUAGAAAUCACAUGCAAGUGCGGUGCUCCAUAUAAAUUGAAAAUGGAUAAAAUGUGCAACUUGUGAAUAUAAAUUUAAAGUAACCUAUAAAUGUGAUACUUCUUAUGAACUCAUAACAAAAAAAAGAAUGCCGAUAAUAAUUUAUGAGUACAUUCUGGAACUCAAUUUCGAACUCGUAGUCAAGGUCCAAUGGAAUUUUCUCGAUUAUUAGAAGGUUUUAGUCGAGGAAAUUCUUCUGAAAUAUUACCAUCUGACAAUGGAAUUUGCAAGGAUUGCGGAAAUUUAGUAUGAAUUGAGAAGUAAUGGCAUUAUAUCUUUAUAGAAAUCUAAUAUUGACUAAUAUUGAAAGACAGUA